CCCGUCGAGCCUCGCGCGCCGCCCCGGGCCUGCCCGUGUGGUCAGGUGGCCCGCGGGCAUCCUCAGCUCCUGCAGGCGCGGUCCAGGCCGCACCAGUGCUUCUGCAGCUGCCGCAUAAAGGUGCUGCAAUUAAUAUUGAUGCCAAAACAUGAGUCUUAAUGCUAUAUCCUGAGAUACCCCUAAAAAAGAGAAGAUGGAGUUGAGUGAAGAGUGAUGUAGCUCCCAGAAGGAAGAAGGUCUAAAAGCCAAGGACGAGGGCAAUUCAUCUUUAAAAGCCUGCACUCACUUAUGUCCUGGCAGCUCUUUGUCCACGGGCACUGAUGUCCAGCCAGGCCACCUUGGAAGCCUGCUCUCUUGAUGCAACCUCUGACUUGACUUUUCUUUUCUCUCUCUUCGGAAUGCCAUCGCGUUAGCCGUGAUUUCUCUUUAUCAUUAGAGUCACUGGCAGUAGAGCAUAGCUGACGCCAAAGACAUGCAGCAGACCAGAAAGGAGGACCUUUCUGUGAACUUGGAGUAAGAUUUGCUCUCGCUUAAGAAAAUGCAGGUAAUUGUGUCAACAGCACGGUGGGCCACCAGGCAGCACGUGAACGCACGACCGAGGACCAUCCUGGUGCUCUUAACUCCCGGCAUUCCCAUGGCCUUCAGUGUGUCCUCACAUAGAGCCUCUCGCGUGAACAGUGGAGUCCUCGCAUGUUGAGAGGAGGUCAUUGUGAGAACUUCAAAGCCAAGGAUUGUUUCUAAGAUGCUUGCCCAGAUUAUACCUCUUCUGGGUUGAAUUGUGUCUCCCAAAAGAUAUGGUGAAGGCCUAACCCUUGGUACCUGUAAAUGCGACCUUUUUUUAGAAACAGGGUCAUUGAAGGUGAGAUUAAUUGGGAUGAGCUCAUUAGGGCAGGUGCUAAUUCAGUGUGAUUGGUGUCCUUAAAAGAAGGGGAAAAUUGGACACAGAUAGACAGACAGAGGGAAGAUGGAGUAGUGGCGUGCAGAGAAAAGACAGCUGUGUAAUGACUGAGGCCGUGGUUGGAGUGAUGCUGCCCCCGCCAAGGAGUGCCUGGGGUCACCAGAAACUGAAUGAAGCAAGGAGCUGUCCUCCACUGAAAGCUUCAGAGAACCUGGAUCUGCUAAUACCUUAAUUUUGGACAUCUGAACCCCAGAACUGUGAGAGGAUAAACUUCUGUCGGUUUUAAGCCACUCGGUCGGUUAUGAUAGCCCUAGGAAACUAAUAAAAUAGCCAACUAAUAUUCCAGCUCAUACAUUUUGAUUGUAAUAUACACUUUUUUAUCAUGGACACGUUCAAUUUCAUGACCAGUUCACCUUCCUGAUCUCUCCUGAAUCCUUAGUUACCAUCCCGUCUCAAGCAACCUUACCUCAGGUAACCUAGGUAUGAUAACUGCCUGUCGAUUCGAUUAUGUGAUGCCACGGUAAUCCCCAUCAGCGCCUCCAAGACAUUCUAGGAGAUGGCAUCAGGUGCCAGUCAUGAGACUUCUGGAUGGGAGGGAAGCUUUUAAGAAAAAUGUCUGUUUUGUUCCUCUGCUAAGUUAUGUCAGAAAGUAGGUUCUAUCUAAGAAGGUAAGAAUCUGAGAAGAAAUAUUUUUCUAUUUUUUAGCAACCCUUAGGAGAAAUUUUCCAGGAAACAAAGUAUGGGCCUUCAUGAGCUAUCCCAUCAUGCAGUUAAAAAGUACAAGUUUACUCUGCACCCCGAAUGCAGUAAUA